rnacentral:rRNA from 1 species
CCUACGGGAGACAGCAGUGAGGAAUAUUGGUCAAUGGCCGGAAGGCUGAACCAGCCAUGCCGCGUGAAGGUCAGUGCCCUAUGGGCGUUAAACUUCUUUUGUGCGGGAGCAAUAAUGGUCACGUGUGGCCAGACUAGAGUACCGUACGAAUAAGCAUCGGCUAACUCCGUGCCAGCCGCCGCGUUAAUACGGGGGAUGCAAGCGUUAUCCGGAGUUAUUGGGUUUAAAGGGUGCGUAGGCUGUGGGGUACGUCAGCGUUGAAAUGCCUCCGCUCAACGGGGUGAAGUGCCAUUUGAUACUGCCUGGCUGGAAUGCGGAUGCCGUAGGAGGAAUGUGUGGUGUAGCGGUGAAAUGCAUAGAUAUCACACAGAACACCGAUUGCGAAGGCAUCUCACGAAUCCGCGAUUGACGCUGAUGCACGAAAGCGUGGGUAUCAAACAGGAUUAGAUACCCGGGUAGUC